ACUCUUGGGGUGGGUUUAUUCCCUGAAACUAGAUCCAGAAUCGAGAUUAUCCAUUCCCAAUUCUUCCCCUCUUCUCCUCCCUACUCUCUGCUGCAGCUGCAAAUCGAUUUUGAGGAUGAAUUUUGAUUGACUAUUACAAGAACUCUGUUGGUGUCAGUGCCAUGAAGAUGGAUGUGCUAAUUCGAGAAGAAAAAACACUGGUUUGAAUCAAUGAACAGACAGAAAAUAAUAAAUUAGGGUUUGCAGAGAUUAGAGAUGGGUUUUGAUGGAGGAGAUCAAGGAUAGAGACUCAAACAACUAGGGGAGGUGUCUGUGUUGAUUUCGGGGGUAAGAUUUAGAUGGGGUUUGAAGGAUUGUGGUUGAAUCGAAGAUGGUGAUUGAUUUAAUGGCUUAUUUAGAUGCUGGAGGUGGAUUAUAGAUCGAUGAAACGGGAUCUGCAGUCUCUGAGUGAAGCAGUGAAUAGAAGAGAUCGGUCGGUUUCUUUAACUGAGAUUUGAAGCUGGUGAUGAUAAGUCCACAAUGUCGAAAGGAAACUCUCUUGGUACUUCAGGAAACUAUCGAAACACGCAUAAAAACAGUCGGCGUUUAAUUGAUGAUGAAGACAAGGAGGGAACAAACCCCAUGAAAUUUCUCCUCAGGAAAAUUGAUUUCAGACUCCAUUUAUGAAUUAAAUCAGUGAAUGGGUUAAGCGUGGUGGUUAGAUUUAUGAAUGAAUGAAAUCAGUGAAUGAGUUAAGCUUGAAUAUGAGUAUUGCAGAUCGAAAGAUGUUAUGGGUGGUCUGAGAUGGAUGCAAUGAAGGAUUUUUGUGAUGUGUAUGAGUGGGGAAGAUCAACAUCAACAGUUGGGAUAAGAGACGGAAUAGAUGGGGUUUGCUGAAGUUGUAUGGGUUUGGUGGCUGUGUAGGUCUUUUGCAGCUGAAUUGGACAAGUAUUGUUGCUGUUACAGGCAAUGAUGUAAGAAAUGGUUGCCAUUUUUUUGUUUUUUUGAAGCAUUUCAAAAACAAUCCGUAAGAUUUGAGUUGCACCAUGGAUUCUCUGUAUUGAGAAGAAGUUGAGAAUUUUGUAAAUAUUAAAAAACAAAAGGGUAUUAUAGCAAACACAUUAAUAAUUAAAUUUUAUAUUAUUUUUUAAAUA